GUGCCUAUGGUGUAAUGGUUAGCACUGAUCCCUGUGGAGGAUCCAGUAUGGGUUCGAAUCCCAUUAGGCACC
rnacentral:tRNA from 1 species